UGACGACGCAACGCCGCGUGGAGGAUGAAGACUUUCGGGUCGUAAACUCCUUUCGACCGAGAUGAAUUCCCGCCGGCCUAACAUGCCGGCGGGGUGACAGUAUCGAGGGAAGAAGCCCCGGCUAACUCCGUGCCAGCAGCCGCGGUAAUACGGGGGGGGCAAGCGUUGUUCGGAAUUACUGGGCGUAAAGGGUUCGUAGGUGGCCAACUAAGUCAGACGUGAAAUCCCUCAGCUUAACUGGGGAACUGCGUCUGAGACUGGAUGGCUCGAGUGCAGGAGAGGAACGCGGAAUUCCAGGUGUAGCGGUGAAAUGCGUAGAUAUCUGGAGGAACACCGGUGGCGAAGGCGGCGUUCUGGACUGCAACUGACACUGAGGAACGAAAGCCAGGGGAGCAAACGGGAUCAGAUACCCCGGUAGUCCUGGCCCUAAACGAUGAAUGCUUGGUGUGGCGGGUAUCGAUCCCUGCCGUGCCGCAGUUAACGCGUUAAGCAUUCCGCCUGGGGGGUACGGUCGCAAGGCUG
rnacentral:rRNA from 1 species